rnacentral:rRNA from 1 species
AUGCCCUAUAUAGGCCCGAAGAGGCGUUCCCGAACUCCCGAGAAACCCACCCGAUCGGUUAAAGAAAAAAACCCACCCCACCCACUUCCCACGACUCCCUCCCCUACCCUCUCCCGAUCCCCUCUGCACACUCCUCCUCACGGCAGCGCGUCGCCGUCGAAGAACUUCUCCCGAUCCACCGCCGCCGCCCCGCAUCCCGUCGGCGCACCGCCCUGCGUCCCGCAACCCGUCGCCGCACCGUCCCUCGUCCCGCCGCCGCAACCAUGCCCCCAAGCUUCGCCUGCAUCCCAUGCUCAAGCCCACCCGUGUACUUUGUUCAGGCAACAUGAAGUCGAGCGGCGCGUACGCGAAGUUGCUGUUGUACCUGAGAGCAGUGUGCUCGUGGGAGGCGCGGGAGCCCGCGCGGAGGGUGCUGCAGAGGGCCACAGCUUCGUGCUCAGCCUCCGGGAGGGGCAGGAGGUGGCAGACGACUUCAAGGGCGUCACCAUGUCGUGGUCGACGAUGGCGGAGGAGAAGACGACGUGGUUCUACGAGCGGCACCGCCAGCUCGUCGUCGAUGAGUACCUGCCGUACGUCCGCCGCGCCGGGCAUGAGGUCACGUUCCGCAACCGUCCUUGCGGGCUCUACUCCAACAAGAAGGAGCUCAGCUACCAGCCUACCACUCUAGGAGGGACGAGGUGUGGAACAGUCCAACUUCCCUUGUAUACUCACAUGAUCACUGGACACUCUGUUUCUUAG